CGCGUAGGCGGUAAUGUAAGUCAGACGUGAAAUCCUUCGGCUUAACCGAAGAACUGCGUCUGAAACUGCAUGACUAGAGUGCAGAAGAGGGAAACGGAAUUCCUGGUGUAGAGGUGAAAUUCGUAGAUAUCAGGAGGAACACCGGUGGCGAAGGCGGUUUCCUGGUCUGACACUGACGCUGAGGCGCGAAAGCGUGGGGGAGCAAACAGGAUUAGAUACCCUGGUAGUCCACGCCGUAAACGGUGGGUACUGGGUGUGGGAGGUGUAAUGCCUUCUGUGCCGAGCUAACGCGUUAAGUACCCGCCUGGGGAGUACGGCCGCAAGGUUGAA
rnacentral:rRNA from 1 species